rnacentral:tRNA from 1 species
AAUGAGGUGUCUGAAUAAAGAAUCAUUUUGAUAGAAUGAAACAUGUGUAAAUACACCUUCAUUA